GCCUACGGGAGGCAGCAGUGAGGAAUAUUGGUCAAUGGGCUUACGCCUGAACCAGCCAAGUCGCGUGAAGGAUGACGGCCCUACGGGUUGUAAACUUCUUUUGUCAGGGAGCAAUUGGGUCCACGCGUGGGCUUAGCGAGAGUACCUGAAGAAAAAGCAUCGGCUAACUCCGUGCCAGCAGCCGCGGUAAUACGGAGGAUGCGAGCGUUAUCCGGAUUUAUUGGGUUUAAAGGGUGCGUAGGCGGAAUGCCAAGUCAGCGGUAAAAUCGCGGGGCUCAACCUCGCUCCGCCGUUGAAACUGGCGU
rnacentral:rRNA from 1 species